GGGGGUGUAGCUCAGCCCGGCAGAGCGCCUCCCUCGCACGGAGGAAGUCAGGGGUUCAAAUCCCCUCACCUCCACCA
rnacentral:tRNA from 1 species